AGAGUUUGAUCAUGGCUCAGAUUGAACGCUGGCGGAAUGCUUUACACAUGCAAGUCGAGCGGCAGCGCGGGGCAACCUGGCGGCGAGCGGCGAACGGGUGAGUAACACAUCGGAACGUAUCCAGUCGUGGGGGAUAGCCCGGCGAAAGCCGGAUUAAUACCGCAUACGACCUGAGGGUGAAAGUGGGGGCUCGCAAGACCUCACGCGAAUGGAGCGGCCGAUGUCCGAUUAGCUAGUUGGUGAGGUAAAGGCUCACCAAGGCGACGAUCGGUAGCUGGUCUGAGAGGAUGAUCAGCCACACUGGGACUGAGACACGGCCCAGACUCCUACGGGAGGCAGCAGUGGGGAAUUUUGGACAAUGGGGGAAACCCUGAUCCAGCCAUUCCGCGUGAGUGAAGAAGGCCUUCGGGUUGUAGAGCUCUUUCGGCAGGAACGAAACGGUUACGGCUAAUACCUGUGACUACUGACGGUACCUGAAGAAGAAGCACCGGCUAACUACGUGCCAGCAGCCGCGGUAAUACGUAGGGUGCGAGCGUUAAUCGGAAUUACUGGGCGUAAAGCGUGCGCAGGCGGUUAUGCAAGCCAGACGUGAAAGCCCCGGGCUUAACCUGGGAAUGGCGUUUGGGACUGCAUGGCUAGAGUACGUCAGAGGGGGGUGGAAUUCCACGUAGCAGUGAAAUGCGUAGAGAUGUGGAGGAACACCGAUGGCGAAGGCAGCCCCUGGGAUGAUACUGACGCUCAGGCACGAAAGCGUGGGGAGCAAACAGGAUUAGAUACCCUAGUAGUCC
rnacentral:rRNA from 1 species